GGCUUCGUCUUUCAUGCUAAAUUCAAUGUACAUAUUGGUAGGCUGAUACAGGGUGUUCUCCUUCUCAGGUGCCCAGGCAAUUGUAGCAGUUGAACUAAUGUGGAAUUCUAGAUAUAAGUACCAAAUGAAAAGUGUACAUAUAGUCUCCAAGUUCCGAAGGAGGAUGGUGGAUCUUGAAAAGCAACUAAUGUUGAGCCUUCUCAGAUAAGAUAGUGGCCUGAGAGGAGCCUUCUCUUCAUCACCAUGAUGUAUCUUUUAUGCAGUAUAUAACACGAUAGAAAGAAAUGUUGAAGGAGGAGAAUGACCCUGAGCAUGUCACUUCGGCUUCUGACCUUUUUGUUGAUGAUGCAUUUGGAACUGCACACUGAAUCCAUUCUUCAACUGAGGGUGUAACAAAAUUCAUGAGGCUAUCUGUAGCUGGAUUUCUUUUGCAGAAGGUAAGGGUUUAUUAUUCUUAUUUCUACUUUGUCAUCGACUUUUUAGUUAUUCUUAGUGUCUUCCUCUAAUCAUCUAUGUACUUCUAAUAGCCUGUAUCGUAACAUUUGGCUGUAAUGUUGCAGCAGCUGUAAGUUCUUUACUACAUUGAUUAAUUGCAAGUAUAUUUCUUCACCAGAGAAAAGUAGAACCAUUUUUGUACAACUUAAAUAACUUUAAAGCAUUUUUUAUGCAAUUUUUUUCUAUUGGGAUUGUUGCUACAUGACCAUUACAUAUUCCAAAGACACAUACCUAUAGAGGUAUCUGGAGAUUGUUGAAAAGAGAAGUUGAAGCUUCCGCAACCCAUUGAUGAGGUCUGAGCUGAAUGCGCCAAGUUUUGUAGGUUUAGGUUAUGUAUAUGAUCAAGUGAUAAAAGUUUCUUUGGUUUUAGAAACCGAAUAUGGAUAGAUUGUACUUCUGAUUGAAGAUGUAAUGACAAAUGGAUUUUGAUUUGCCAUUACAGGAACAAUAUAAUCAAAGAAACUUACUACAUUU